UACGUAGGGGGCAAGCGUUGUCCGGAUUUAUUGGGCGUAAAGAGCGUGUAGGCGGCCAUGUAGGUCCGUUGUGAAAACUCGAGGCUCAACCUCGAGACGCCGAUGGAAACCAUGUGGCUCGAGUCCGGAAGAGGAGAGUGGAAUUCCCGGUGUAGCGGUGAAAUGCGUAGAGACCCGGAGGAACACCAGUGGCGAAGGCGGCGUCCUGGCCUGCGACUAACGCUGUGGCGCGAAAGCUAGGGGAGCGAACGGG
rnacentral:rRNA from 1 species